rnacentral:rRNA from 1 species
CUGCUGCCUUCCGUAGGAGUCUGGGCCGUGUCUCAGUCCCAAUGUGGCCGUCCACCCUCUCAGGCCGGCUACUGAUCGUCGGCUUGGUGGGCCGUUACCCCACCAACUACCUAAUCAGACGCGGGUCCAUCUUACACCACCUCAGUUUUUACCACUGUACCAUGCAGUACUGUGGUCUUAUGCGGUAUUAGCAGUCAUUUCUAACUGUUAUCCCCCUGUGUAAGGCAGGUUACCCACGCGUUACUCACCCGUCCGCCGCU